CCAUGAUUCAGCGGCGGACGGGUGAGUAAUGCCUAGGAAUCUGCCUGGUAGUGGGGGACAACGUUUCGAAAGGAACGCUAAUACCGCAUACGUCCUACGGGAGAAAGUGGGGGAUCUUCGGACCUCACGCUAUCAGAUGAGCCUAGGUCGGAUUAGCUAGUUGGUGAGGUAAAGGCUCACCAAGGCGACGAUCCGUAACUGGUCUGAGAGGAUGAUCAGUCACACUGGAACUGAGACACGGUCCAGACUCCUACGGGAGGCAGCAGUGGGGAAUAUUGGACAAUGGGCGAAAGCCUGAUCCAGCCAUGCCGCGUGUGUGAAGAAGGUCUUAGGAUUGUAAAGACCUUUAAGUUGGGAGGAAGGGCAGUAAGUUAAUACCUUGCUGUUUUGACGUUACCGACAGAAUAAGCACCGGCUAACUUCGUGCCAGCAGCCGCGGUAAUACGAAGGGUGCAAGCGUUAAUCGGAAUUACUGGGCGUAAAGCGCGCGUAGGUGGUUCGUUAAGUUGGAUGUGAAAGCCCCGGGCUCAACCUGGGAACUGCAUCCAAAACUGGCGAGCUAGAGUAUGGCAGAGGGUGGUGGAAUUUCCUGUGUAGCGGUGAAAUGCGUAGAUAUAGGAAGGAACACCAGUGGCGAAGGCGACCACCUGGGCUAAUACUGACACUGAGGUGCGAAAGCAUGGGGAGCAAACAGGAUUAGAUACCCUGGUAGUCCACGCCGUAAACGAUGUCGACUAGCCGUUGGGAUCCUUGAGAUCUUAGUGGCGCAGCUAACGCAUUAAGUCGACCGCCUGGGGAGUA
rnacentral:rRNA from 1 species